CGGCAGGCCUUAUACAUGCAAGUCGAGGGGCAGCAUAGAUUGCUUGCAAUCUGAUGGCGACCGGCGAACGGGUGCGUAACGCGUAUGCAACUUACCUUUUACUAGGAGAUAGCCAAGAGAAAUUUUGAUUAAUAUCCUAUAUAAUUAUUUUUUCGCAUGAAUUAAUAAUAAAAGCUCAGGCGGUAAAAGAUGGGCAUGCGUCCUAUUAGCUAGUAGGUGAGGUAACGGCUCACCUAGACUACGAUAGGUAGGGGCCCUGAGAGGGGGAUCCCCCACACUGGUACUGAGACACGGACCAGACUCCUACGGGAGGCAGCAGUGAGGAAUAUUGGACAAUGGACGAAAGUCUGAUCCAGCUAUGCCGCGUGCAGGAUGACAGCCCUACGGGUUGUAAACUGCUUUUAUACAGGAAGAAAAACCCCGACGUGUCGGGGCUUGACGGUACUGUAAGAAUAAGGAUCGG
rnacentral:rRNA from 1 species